AUGGCAUGGCAGCAACUGCUACUACCGCUGAUUAAACAUUCGUGGGCGCGGAAGUUAAGUAUAUUUUAUACUGACAAAGUAUUGUUAAAAAAUUGUGUAAUUUAGCAUGUUGGUUUGGAGUACUCGUACUCCAGAGAGAAAAUUCACGAUUAAAAGAAAGUGGAAUAGACAGUAUCAACAAGGAAGAUAAAGACCUUGCUUCCACAGAUAUCACUCAGAUUGACAAGGCCCUGGGUCAUGGUGCAUCGAUUGAGCU